rnacentral:rRNA from 1 species
GACGAACGCUGGCGGCGUGCUUAACACAUGCAAGUCGAACGGAAAGGCCCUGCUUUUGUGGGGUGCUCGAGUGGCGAACGGGUGAGUAACACGUGAGUAACCUGCCCUUGACUUUGGGAUAACUUCAGGAAACUGGGGCUAAUACCGGAUAGGAGCUCCUGCUGCAUGGUGGGGGUUGGAAAGUUUCGGCGGUUGGGGAUGGACUCGCGGCUUAUCAGCUUGUUGGUGGGGUAGUGGCUUACCAAGGCUUUGACGGGUAGCCGGCCUGAGAGGGUGACCGGCCACAGUGGGACUGAGAUACGGCCCAGACUGCUACGGGAGGAAGCAGUGGGGAAUAGUGCAAAAUGGGCGGAAGCCGGAUGCAGCAACGCCGCGUGCGGGAUGACGGCCUUCGGGUUGUAAACCGCUUGCGCCUGUGAAGAAGAGUGAGUGACGGUAAUGGGUAAAGAAGCACCGGCUAACUACGUG